rnacentral:rRNA from 1 species
CUUUUGACCUCGGAUCAGGUAGGGAUACCCGCUGAACUUAAGCAUAUCAAUAAGCGGAGGAAAAGAAACCAACAGGGAUUGCCCUAGUAACGGCGAGUGAAGCGGCAACAGCUCAAAUUUGAAAUCUGGCUCUUUUAGGGUCCGAGUUGUAAUUUGCAGAGGGUGCUUUGGUGUUGGCAGCGGUCCAAGUUCUUUGGAACAGGACGUCACAGAGGGUGAGAAUCCCGUACGUGGUCGCUAGCCCUCACUAUGUAAAGCCCCUUCGACGAGUCGAGUUGUUUGGGAAUGCAGCUCUAAAUGGGAGGUAAAUUUCUUCUAAAGCUAAAUACUGGCCAGAGACCGAUAGCGCACAAGUAGAGUGAUCGAAAGAUGAAAAGCACUUUGGAAAGAGAGUCAAAUAGCACGUGAAAUUGUUGAAAGGGAAGCGCUUGCAGCCAGACUUGCCUGUAGUUGCUUAUCCGGACUUUUGUCCGGUGCACUCUUCUGCGGGCAGGCCAGCAUCAGUUUAGGCGGUUGGAUAAAGGUCUCUGUCAUGUACCUCUCUUCGGGGAGGCCUUAUAGGGGAGACGACAUGCAACCAGCCUGGACUGAGGUCCGCGCAUCUGCUAGGAUGCUGGCGUAAUGGCUGUAAGCGGCCCGUCUUGAAACACGGACCAAGGAGUCUAACAUCUAUGCGAGUGUUUGGGUGUCAAGCCCAGACGCGUAAUGAAAGUGAACGGAGGUGGGAACCCUUUGGGUGCACCAUCGACCGAUCCUGAUGUCUUCGGAUGGAUUUGAGUAAGAGCAUGGCUGUUGGGACCCGAAAGAUGGUGAACUAUGCUUGAAUAGGGUGAAGCCAGAGGAAACUCUGGUGGAGGCU